UGGAGAAAUAAUAAAGUAAGCAACAAAGUCAUAUGAAGAAAAAAAAAAAGACAUCCAAAGCCUUCUUUAGAUGCCCAUGAGUUAGAGUAAAAGAUUAUAAAAUAAUGUUUAUUGGGAGGCAACCCAAUUUUCUAACUUUUAAUCUUUUUAUUUAAUUUUAUGCAUUUUCUCAUUUUUUAUUUGAUUAGCUAUCAUUGUUUUUGUAGGUAAUUUUUAAAAUCCCAUUUAUCCAUGGUUCCAAGCUAAGUUUGGCAUGAAUUGGUAUAUAAGAAGGUUACUUGCCCAAUCUAUUCAAGAGCAUCACAAGUCCAAAUCGAGCAUUGAUACCUCUUCAUGAAUGUACGAUCGCGAAAGUUUGGUUAUCCCUUCUUCUAUUUUAUCUUGUUCUUUUACACAUCAAGGAUAAUGUGUGAUUUAAGUUUGGGGUAAUUGUGCUUAAAUUGUUGUGAUUUUGUGUUGACAUGUGAGAUUAGCCUGGCAGGUUUAGGAUUGUUUGAUAUUUAAAAUUAUUGUUGAUUCAUGAGCUAUGCAUGACCAAAUAUGUCAUUCGUGCCCAAUAUUUUUCAAAAAUUUUGCUUGUCCAUAUGAGAUUCCAAAUCACUUUGAGCAUAAUAGUCAUGAUUAAUUAUUAUCUAGCUGUAAAACUUUUUGAUAGAUGGAGAAAAUUUUGAAUUGGUAGAAUUAGGUUGUGUGUUGUUUGAAAAUUUAUAUCAAUUUACAUUCUUUAUCACUUAACCUUAUUGUGAGAUAAGUUUGUGGUGAUCAAGCUAGUGAAAAAUAUUACCUAGAUGUGUGUUGAUUCCACGAAUGUUGAAAAAAUUUUGUGUAUAGUAUCAUUUGUUAAGUGUAAGCUAGGUAAAGACGAUAUGCUAGAGAUCUAAACCACAUUAGUUUUGUUGUACUUAAAAAAAACAUUGUACUUGUUGAAUUUAGGCUUCAUUUCGUAGCCUUUUUAAGUUGAGUUAUUAAGUCCAUAGAGGUAUCUCAAAACCUGGUACUUUUUGGUCUACAAAAUUGAGGAACUAUCAAUCUAAAGCUCGCUACACGGAUCAAGAAGAAAGCUUAAGGGAGAGAUGUCAAUCAUGAACUUCAAUUGAAAAUUUAGUAGAAAAAUUGUGCAAUUGUAUUUGAUGUUUGGGCUUAGAUAACUAGUGUGUUUGAAUUACUUAGUGCAAGUUUAGAUUAUUUUUGUUAGCAUUUAUUUGGAGCAUAUUCGUGAAAUGAUUAUAAAAUUUUACUCAUUGAUUUUUAUUUUUUUGCAAUCUAACUAAUGUAUCGAUCUUUAUCUCAUUUUUCAUUAUUGUGAUAAUUGUAAUCUUGCUCGGGACGAUUAAGAGCUUAAGUUUGGGGUGUUGAUAAGUAUGUUUUUGUACACUUAUUAAUACCCAAAUAAGCUAAUUAUGAUUCAGUUGAACGAAAUCCAAUUCACAAUUGUGUAAUUAUGGCUUUUGUCGGCAAAAAUCACCCAUGGAAUGAUAAUAAGGCAAGAGGAGGAGAAAAUGAUUGAAAUCGUACAAAAAUCAUGAAUUUGGGGAUCAAAGUGCACAAGUCGAAAAGUUGGAGGACAUUGUGCUGCAAUUUAUGAAGAGCAAAAUUGAUAUAAAAGUCAAAAUUCUAGGGCUAAAAUGUACAAGAAAAAAGUUGAGGGACUUGACAUGCAAAUUGCUAGAGGAUUUGUGUGCAAAAAUUAAACAAUGAAACUAGAACCAAUUGAUUAUUUUUAACAGAAAGGCACCAAUUUUAAAACUUGGGGAUUGUUUUUAAUUUAUUUCCAAAACUUGGAGGCUUGGUGCAAAUUUUCUAGGAUUUAAUACUUAAAAAAAAGGCGGCAGGGGUAUUCGGCUUCUUCUUCUAUUUUGUAUUAUUCUUCUUCAUUGUACUUUUCAUUUUCUUCCUUUCUUUAUCUCUCUUUCAAUUUAUUUAUUUAUUUAUUUAUUUAUUUAUUGGUGUUUUAGAAAUAAAACCAAGAGCAGAAGGAGAAUAUAUCAAGAAAAGUGGAGAAAUAUUUAAGAAACUCAAAAUUCAUUAAUUACAACCUUCAAGAAUUCAACCAAACAAGGAUUUUAUCUAUAGUCUUGUUGUUUCUUCAUUAUUUUCUUCUAUUUCUAAUAUAUUGUAUGAAUGUUCUCAUUUGUUAUCACACACAUAAAAUGAGCUCAGUUAUUUGUAUUGAGAUUUAUAGUAAUAGUUUGCCCUAACUUUAAUUGAUAUCAAUAUUUGCUCUUUGAUGUUAAAAUAUUUAAUUUUAUGUGUAUCUACCAUUGAUUUCAGUGCUAUUCAUUUAUUUGACCAAUAAAUAUUUGUGUUAAGUGAUUUGUGCAAUUAUUGAGGAACUCUUGUGCAUAUUAGACUAUGGAGUAAGUACCCUGGGUUGCUGUAGGGGAUAGAGAUAUAUCCUUAACCUUUUGUGGUCUAUUGAGCUAUUUUCACAAAAAUUGAAUGUGAUUGUUUGGUUUUAAUUGACAUAUAGAUAUAAGAGUUAAAUCAAUCAAUUAGGGUUAAUUUCUCCCAAGAUAGAUAAUUAACUAAAAUUGAAAAAUUGAACCUAACAUUGGAAAUGAGUAAUUUGUUAAUUUUCUUGUGGGGAAUUAAUUAGGCAAUGGUUAAGCGAAAGUAUAAUUACAACCACGCUUUCCUCCAAAAUUUCGAAUUUUUUGUGUUUUCUUAUUUUUAUUGUCCAUGUGUUUCAUUGUUAUAAUUAAAUUGAUUAAAUUUGUGUAAUCAAAAGUAAACAUUCUUCGAGGGAUUGACAGUACGGACUCAAAAAGUCCACUUUAUUACUUGAACAAAUCCGUGUACUUGUGGUUUGCACUUUUUAGCGAACACCAACCUACCUUGCCAUCAUCCAUCUUGCGCCCCACAAUGGAAGUGAGCGGCCAUGUUAGAAAGCUUGGGAAGAUAGGUCGAAGGAGGUAGCAGAAAGAUGAACGGGAAGUGGGUAGUUUUAUUUCAAAAGGUAACCAAUCAGGUAAAGUAGCUCAAUUCCUUGUAAGCACAUUAUUUACCUUAUGUCUAACCGAUGUAGAACAUUAUUCGUACAUUUUCAAAAAUUUUCCAUCCCACAUGAUUUAAGUUUCGAGAUAAAGUGGCCCGCGAACUUGCUUCUUUCGCUAUUUAGGUUUGAUUGUUAGUACCUUAUUCCUUUCCCGUUUCAUCUGUUAUUCACAGUGAUAUAAGUUACUGAAGUUGAUGUUGGAUUUCAAAGAACAAAAUAAUUCUGCUUGCUAAUAUUAAUCAAGAAUCAAAACAUAGUUUUCUUGAGACAUAUAUGAUGAUGAAUGUUUCAAACUAUGAAUAAAAUAAUUGUCUCAAAUCUGUUUCCAGACUAAUAAAUUCGGGCAUUGAUUUCAGUUAUAGUAAUCAAGUGAAUACAAUUUUCAGCAGACAUAUUUGGUUCUUCUAUAUAGAAUAAAUAAUGCUACAUAGCAACACUGGUGUUGCAAACCCAGUCUAGAUGGCAUUAGAUGAUUGGUUACUAGAAAGGUAAAAUUAAAUGAGUUGUUUAAUUCUAGCACCACCUAGACUGAGAUUGCAACUGUUAGGCAAAUUGUUAUCAAAUAACUUCCUACAGGCUAUGACGUUAGUCGAUUUUAUUUUUUCAUUCGGCUUAGCAAAAUGACUGAACAAAAGUUUAACACCACAAUCCAAAUGAUACAACCCAAAGGUUAAUUGGGCUACUUGAAGCAACCUGAAUAUUUUAGUGUUGCUCGUAGACCAAUCCACUUCCUUGGAUGGCCAUAAUUGAGAGAAAUUAUUUGUGAGUCCAUUUACUUACCUAUUAGGUCUCUACUUUGAUCCAUCUAUUAACCUAAUUACACUUACCAUAGUUGGGCCAUUCUCUCUAUGUGAGAGACGUCCUCUGUCUCUCUCUUGUUCGGCCGGUUCUACGAGAUUUUUUUCUAUUCUUUCUGUCUCUUUUGAUCUCUACCUCUAUUGAUGGUAAUAUAUGAGAUAUAGUACACCUUGUGGUCUCCUAAGUGAACUAUCUCAUUGGCAAUCGGAAGUGGUAGCUUGGUUAUUAUCUUAGGUCGUUGUUAUCUGGUUGUGGUGUUAGAAGUUGGAAAUAACUGAGCUUGGGCAAGCUUUGGUGUUCAAUAUACUUCAACAUCUGGUAUCAGAGUGUGGGUUAUCAUAAUCUAGCAAGAAUCAAAACAAAAAUUGGAAGAAACAUGUUUUCUUCAAUCUGAUCGAAUUUGAAAAUUUCAAUUAAUCUAAAACCAGACCUCCGUUGGACGAACGAAGGCCUGACCCACGAUCAGCAAGUCGAGGCACUCCCUAUGAGGUGACACGUGGCAGGAGGCAGUGCGUGGAGGACCUCCAGCAUGAUUUUUUCUUACCAUUUCAUUUAUUUUAAUCUCCUAAACGUACUGAUGUGUUUGGUUUAGUGUUACAGGUUGCGCAAGAAAAUUUGGAUGAUUUUGCCCCUGAUCUUCAAUCUGCAUUUGUGGCUAAUUGGAAUAGGAAAAUUUGCUGAAUCUUUAGGGCGAAUAGUGGUGGCCCUAAAGCAGCAAAUUCGCAGCUAUCCACUUUACAGACUCAAAUAGGUCCGCUAUGGUAAAUUGACUAAAACUUUUACAUUAUUGCACUACCAGAUCAUCAUGUGAGGCAAUCAUUAGGACUGGGGAUUGUCAUUGCUUGACAACCAUUGCUUGUGUUAGAAAAUUAGGAUUACUUGCUCUUAACUAAUUAAUUGAGUACCUGUCUUUUGGUUAAAUUAGUGUUUAGUUCUUAGUGAUGGAAUACUGUGAAACUAGUUAUUUGUUAGACGUAUCUUUUGUUGCAUUGUUACUUUCCCUGCUUAUUAAUUUCGCUAGAAUUAUCGAGACCUUACCCUUUCGAACCUUUCCUUGAUCUAAGAUCGUGGUCUUACGAAACCCUGAAAACUAGAAUCGUGUACACUAUCUGUGACCCUAGGACUACUUUAUGUGGUCUGAUUGUGUUUGUGCAUUUUUUGGCUAUUCUGUGAAAAUGAUAACUCACAAUUUUGAUUUGAGAAUUUUUAACGAAAAGGGUGAUUUUUCAAUUUGGCAACAAAAAAUAAAGGGUAUUUUAGUCCAACAAAAUGUUUCAAAAGCUAUUGAAAGCAAUUCUUCAACUGAUUUUUCAAAAGAACAAAAAGAAGAAGCUAGUGAGCUUGUUUAUACCUCAAUCAUUUUACUUUGUUUGAUGUCGUUUUGAGAAAGGUGGGUAAACUGAAAACCACCAAAGAACUUUGAAAAAAAUUGGAAGAUUUGUAUUUGCUCAAAUCUACACCGAAUAAACUUUAACUGAUUGAACGUUUUUUCAGUUUUAAAAUGGAUCCUUCAAAGGACCUCGAUGACAAUUUAGACGUAUUUAACAAACUGGUGCAAGAUAUCGUUAAUUGUGAUGAGACUGUGUCUGAAACCUGUAAGGCCAUAAUCUUGCUCAAUUCUAUUUCUGACUCUUUUAAGGAAGUUUAAAAUGCCAUUAAAUAUGGUAGGGAUACAUUGACACUUGAUAUUAUCAUAGAUUCUCUUAGGAGUAAAGAGAUGAAAAUUAAGGCUGAAAAAUAUGAUAAAACAAGUGGUAAGUUACAUAUGAUGCGGAGUAGAACUCAGUUUAGGCAAAAUAGUCAUGAUGGAUACCAAAGUAGUGGCAAGUCAAGUAGUAAUGGAUGGAAGAAGAAGUGCCAAGGUAGGUCUAGAACAAAGUCUAGGACCAAUGCUAGAAAAUGCUAUGGCUGUGGAAGCACGGGGUAUUUUAUAAAGGAUUGUCAUAAAGAAAAGGGUAAGCUAAAGGUUAAGGAGAGAUAUGGUGUCAAUGUGUUAUCAUCUACUUCCAAUAUAGAUAACAGUGAAAUCUAUAUGAUUAAAAGUCUCAUUGCAUGCACUGCUGAAUUGAAUCUAACUACUAAUUCUCGUAUGCAUCAGUGGACGCUUGAUUCUGGUGCAUCUUUUCAUGUGAUGUCUGAAAAGAAUUGGUUUGAUAACUUGCAUGAAUCUAAUGUUGGGCAUGCUUGCUGUGUGAUAACUUUGCCUAUACGAUAGCUCGAAUUGGUGACAUAGAUAUAAAAUUUUACACGGGCUUUGUCUACACGUUAAAGGACGUUAGAUAUAUUCUUAAUUGUCUAGGAAUUUGAUUUCAGUGGUGAGACUUGAAAAAGAUGACUUUACUAGUAAAAUUAGAAAUGGUGUGCUAAAAAUGAUUAGGGGUGUGAUAGUUUCUAUUAAGGAAACUAAGAAAAACGACAUUUACAUCACUACUGGGGAAGUUAUUAGAGGUUUGAACUCCUCUAUCUGUUCUACCAAGGUUAAUCGCACACACACAUGGUAUAAUAGGCUUGCACACGUAGGCAUUAAGGGACUUAAGCUAAUUAAUGAAAAAGAUGCAUUUCGUAAUGACUGUGUGUUAGAUUUGUCAUUUUGUGAUCAUUAUGUGCUUGGUAAGCAUUAUAAAAUAUCGUUCUCCACUAGUGUUCAUAAAGCUAAAGACAUAUUUAAACAUGUGUAUUCUGAUCUGUGGGGUCCUACUAAUAAUUCCACAUCAGGUAGGAAUAGGUAGUUCCUGUCUAUUAUCGAUGACUAUACUAGGAAAGUAUGAGUCUAUCUGUUGAAAGAUAAAUCUGAGUCUUUUCAUAACUUUAAUAACUGGAAGAGACAAAUGGAAAAUCAAAUUCGCAAAAGGAUCAAAUUUUUAAGGACAAAUAACGACCUAGAAUUUUGCAACAUUGAAUUUGAUAUUACGUGUAAAGGAAAUGACAUAACAAGACAUAAGACGGUUCUUUACACUCCCCAGCAAAACGGGGUAGUGGAAAGGAUGAAUAUGACCAUACUUGAUAAAGUGCGUUGCAUGAUGUUAAGUUCUGAUGUCCCUAAAUCGUUUUGGGGUGAAAAUGUUAUGACUGCUUGUUAUUUGAUUAAUUUGACUCCAUCUGCUACAUUAAAUGGUGAUACUCAGCAUGAGAGUUGGUCUGGUAAAUUGAGUGAUUAUCUAUGCUUAGAACUUUUGGCUUUGCUGUAUUUUCUCAUCAGAGUGAGGAAAAGUUGGAACCUAGAGUUAGAAAGUGUUUCUUUCUAGGAUACCUCAAGGGUGUCUAGGGUUUACUAGGAUAUAAGCUAAAAGGGGAUUAAGAUCAUCGUGAGUAAGGAUGUCACAUCUAACGAAAGUGAGAUGUCGUGUCUUAAAGGCGAAAUCGAACCUGUGAGUGAAACUAAACCAGGUAAAGAAAGAGAUCGAUUUAAGGUAGAGUUAGAAAAACUUAGCACAUCAGCCCCUACUACUCCAAAUGAGAUGGAGAUUCAGGUUCACGAACUUGAGGUGGAGAAUAGUAACAAAGUAGUGAUAGAAGAGCAUCCUAAGGAAGAAAAUCCUUUAGUUAAUUACAAUUUAGUGAAGGAUAGAGAGAGGUGACAAACGAGAGAACCUAGGAGGUUCAGAUUUGAAUCUGAGUUAGCUUUCGUCGAUGCUAGUUACGAAGAACUAGUCGAUAGAGAGCCAAAAACCUUUGAAAAGACGAUGGGUAGUAAUCAAUCUAAAGAGUGGCUUAAGACAAUAAAAGAAGAGAUGAGUUCUCUAGAGAAGAAUCAGACUUGGGACCUAGUACUUAGACCUAAGAAUAAAUUGAUCGUCGAUUAUAAAUGAGUCUUUAAGGUUAAGGAAGGUACCAAUAGUUCGGAACCCUUAAGGUUUAAGGCUAGGUUAGUGGCUAAGGUUUACACAUAGAAGGAGGGCAUUGAUUAUAAUAAGAUUUUCUCACCAGUUGUUAAGUACACUACUAUUAGGGUCAUGCUUGCAUUGGUUGUGCAUUUUGAUAGAGAACUUGAACAACUUGAUGUACAAACUGUUUUUUAACAUGGUGAGCCUGAUGAACAAAUCUUUAUGAAUCAAUCGAAAGGUUUUAAGGACAAGUCAAAACCUGAUUAUGUGUGUUUUCUAAAAAUAUCCUUGUAUUGCUUAAAACAGUCACCUAAACAGUGGUACAAGAGGUUUGAUUCCUUUGUACUCACUAUAGGGUUUGAAAGAAGUAAAUUUGAUCACUAUUUGUACUUUCAACACAACGAGAUUAAUAAUAAUUGUUUGUUUUUGUUUAACUAUGUGAACGACAUGCUUUUGAUUGGUUCAUCAACUAAGUGGGUAAACAAUAUAAAAGCAAAACUAAGUGGUGAAUUUGAUAUGAAAGACCUAGGUAAGACUAAGAGAAUUCUAGACAUGGAAAUAGAAAGAGAUAGGUCAAAUUCUGUCCUAUUUUUGCAUCAGUCUCCAUAUAUAUCUCGGUUGUUGAAGAAAUUUAAUAUGGUGAUUGCAAAUAUGUCACAUUGCCUCUUGCUAAUCAUUUUGUUUUAUCUAAAGAACAAUCUCCUUGCAAUGAAUGUGAAGUAGAAUACAAGAGUAGAAUUUCGUAUUCUAAUGUGAUUGGUUCCAUAAUGUAUUUGAUGGUUUGCACUAGACUGAAUUUAGGUUUUGCUGUCAGUACUCUUAGUAGGUACAUGUUUAAUCUGGGUCUUGAACAUUGGGAAGCAUUAAAGUGGCUAUUAAGAUACUUGAAAGGUUCGGGUGACGUAGGUCUAAAGUUUAGUGCUAAUAAGGAAGGUGUAAAAUUGAAGGGCUUUAUAGAUGCUGAUUAUACGGGAAAUAGGGAUGUUUACCUUAACUAAUUCAUGUGUUAAUUGAAAAUCACAGUUACAACACAUUGUUGCACUAUCUACUACAGAGUCAAAAUAUAUUGCUACCACUGAAACAAUUAAAUAUGCUCUAUGGCUUAGAUGUUUACUUCGUGAAUUAUGUGUCUUGAAUGAUUAUACGGUAAUGUAUUUUGAUAGUCAGUCGUCUAUACAUUUUAUGAAAGAACCCUAUUUUUCACGAACGCACUAAACACGUUGACGUUAUACUACACUUUAUUAGAGAUAUAAUAUCUCAAGAAGUGGUAAGACUUGAAAAUGUCCACACACAAUACAACCCUUUAGAUAUGGGCACGAAAGUGCUGCAAUUGGUAAAGUUUAGAAACUACAAGCAUCUUCUAAACAUUGGUACAGGUAAAUGAUUUUCAAUUUUAUUGGUUUUCUGUUAGAGGUGUCACUAAUGGGAGACGUUUUCAUUUUUUCAGGUCCUUUGACACCAAUGUGGAGAUUGUGAGGUAACUUAUUGUCAAACGACCUCCCCCAAGCUAUGAUGUUACUCGAUUUUAUUUUUUCAGUCGGCUUAGCCAAAUGACUGAACGGAAGUUUAAGACUACAAUCCAGGCGAUAUGACCCAAAUGUUAAUUGGGACACUCGAAGCAACCUAAAUAUUUUAGUGUUGCUCGUUUUAACGCCCCAAAUCUAUUACACUUUUUUUUUUUUUUUUAAGAUUUGAAGUGUUACCAAAAUCUUUCUUUUAUAGUUUAAGCG
rnacentral:lncRNA from 1 species